CCGAGCCAAGCCGAGUUAAGCCGAGUUGUGAGCCGAGGCCAAGCCGAGCCGAGCCGAGAGUGAGCCGAGCCGUGAGCCGAGACCAAGCCGAGCCGAGCCGAGAGUGAGCCGAGCCGAGCCGAGCCACCUAAGCCUUCCUCCCUCCACUUCGGGUCACGGUAGUAAGGAGUUGACGCUUAAGUUCUCGGAUCUCGCGGCAGGCUUGUUUGGAGAUAGCUUUCCUUUCCUUGGGUUGAUCCGUUGAGCGUGGAUUCGAUCGAGGGGCAUAACCGAGUAUUCAGGUAAGGGUU